UAACGCGAAGAACCUUACCUGGGUUUGACAUCGCCUGAAAACUCGUAGAGAUACGGGGUCCUUCGGGGCAGGUGACAGGUGGUGCAUGGCUGUCGUCAGCUCGUGUCGUGAGAUGUUGGGUUAAGUCCCGCAACGAGCGCAACCCUCGUCCCAUGUUGCCAGCGGGUUAUGCCGGGGACUCAUGGGAGACUGCCGGGGUCAACUCGGAGGAAGGUGGGGAUGACGUCAAGUCAUCAUGCCCCUUAUGUCCAGGGCUUCACACAUGCUACAAUGGCCGGUACAAAGGGCUGCGAUGCCGUGAGGUGGAGCGAAUCCUUUCAAAGCCGGUCUCAGUUCGGAUUGGGGUCUGCAACUCGACCCCAUGAAGUCGGAGUCGCUAGUAAUCGCAGAUCAGCAACGCUGCGGUGAAUACGUUCCCGGGUCUUGUACACACCGA
rnacentral:rRNA from 1 species